rnacentral:rRNA from 1 species
UAUGAAGUUGGAAUCGCUAGUAAUCGCGGAUCAGCAUGCCGCGGUGAAUACGUUCCCGGGCCUUGUACACACCGCCCGUCACACCAUGAGAGUCGGGAACACCCGAAGUCCGUAGCCUAACCGCAAGGGGGCGCGGCCGAAGGUGGGUUCGAUAAUUGGGUGAAGUCGUAACAAGGUAUC